rnacentral:rRNA from 1 species
GUAAGUCGAACGAUGAACCUUGCUUUUUAGUGAGGGGAUUAGUGGCGAACGGGUGAGUAACACGUAGGUGACCUGCCCCAAAGAGGAGAACAACCAUGCGAAAGCGUGGCUAAUACUCCAUAUGGCCGACCAUUCAUUUGGUCGAUUAAAGCUUUUGCGCUUUGGGAGGGGCUUGCGGCCCAUCAGCUAGUUGGUAGGGUAAUGGCCUACCAAGGCUAUGACGGGUAGCUGGUCUGAGAGGAUGAUC